GAUGAAGAACGUAGCGAAACGCGAUAGUUAAUGUGAAUUGCAGAAUUCAGUGAAUCAUCGAAUCUUUGAACGCACCUUGCGCCCUUUGGCUAUUCUGAAGGGCAUGCCUGUUUGAGUAUCGUGAACACCUCAACUCUCAUGGUCUGCCAUGAUGAGCUUGGACUUUGGGGGUCUUGCUGGCCUACUGUCAGCUCCUCUCAAAUGAAUCAGCUUACCAGUGUUUGGUGGCACCACAGGUGUGAUAACUAUCUACGCUUGUGGUUUUCUGCCAGGUAACCUCCAGUGAUGGAGGUUCGCUGGAGCUCACAAAUGUCUCUCCUCAGCGAGGACAGCUUUUUGAACGUUUGAUCUCAAAUCAGGUAGGACUACCCGCUGAACUUAAGCAUAUCAAUAAGCGGAGGA
rnacentral:misc_RNA from 1 species